UACGGAGGGAACUAGCGUUGUUCGGAAUUACUGGGCGUAAAGCGUGCGCAGGCGGUUUUGUAAGUCUGUCGUGAAAUCCCCGGGCUCAACCUGGGAAUUGCGAUGGAGACUGCAAGGCUAGAAUCUGGCAGAGGGGGGUAGAAUUCCACGUGUAGCAGUGAAAUGCGUAGAGAUGUGGAGGAACACCGAUGGCGAAGGCAGCCCCCUGGGUCAAGAUUGACGCUCAUGCACCGAAAGGCGUGGGGAGCAAACAGG
rnacentral:rRNA from 1 species